rnacentral:rRNA from 1 species
AUUGAACGCUGGCGGCAGGCCUAACACAUGCAAGUCGAGCGGGAACUUCGGUUCUAGCGGCGGACGGGUGAGUAAUGCGUAGGAAGCUACCCGACAGAGGGGGUUACCAGUUGGAAACGACUGUUAAUACCGCAUAAUGUCUACGGACCAAAGUGUGGGACCUUCGGGCCACAUGCUGUCGGAUGCGCCUACGUGGGAUUAGCUAGCUGGUGAGGUAAUGGCUCACCAAGGCGACGAUCCCUAGCUGGUUUGAGAGGAUGAUCAGCCACACUGGAACUGAGACACGGUCCAGACUCCUACGGGAGGCAGCAGUGGGGAAUAUUGGACAAUGGGCGAAAGCCUGAUCCAGCCAUGCCGCGUGUGUGAAGAAGGCCUUCGGGCUGUAAAGCACUUUCAGUAGGGAGGAAGAGUUGAGUGUUAAUAGUACUCAGCUUUGACGUUACCUACAGAAGAAGCACCGGCUAACUCUGUGCCAGCCGCCGCUGUAACAC